rnacentral:misc_RNA from 1 species
AAGUCGUAACAAGGUUUCCGUAGGUGAAGGAUCAUUCGCACGUAUCCAACGUUAAACCCCCUGUGAACCUUCUUUGUACGAGUUAGCCCCCUGAUCACAACCUUUGCAUGAAAACGGGCAUGCGCUGAGGUGCGGCCACCCCUAAUGCUUGAACAACUGUUAACAAUGGAUAUCUUGGUUCUC